UUCUCGUCGCACCCCCGCACGCCCCUGCUAUCGGGAGUGUAUGCGAGGGAUGCAGAGACACACACACACACAGACACACAGUGCAGGCGCAUCCCACCAUUACGUUCUCUGUAGGCUUGUAUUUUCGGAUACGCGACGGGCCAGCCAUCCGCCUCAUCCCCUCGCCAGCCGCCUACUUGAUUCACCCCCUCCCUCUUCCUCACCCGAACGACGGGUGGGGUGGGGGAUGCGCACACCUCAGCGCGUGGUGCCUCAGCGGCCAGUGCACGCCCACUCUCCGGCUGGAAGCCGAGCAGAGCCCCCCCUCCACCCCCUCCUAUCCCCUCGCCGGCGCCGGGCCACUUCGCGUGGUGGCAGGGCCAGGGUGCCUAGGGCGUGAGAGGGGGAGGUCAGAGCGACCGGCGGCCGUGCACACGCUUGUACGAUCCAUAUGGGCGGGCGACGUGCCAGCGUGGCUGGAGUGUGUCUCCCCGACCUGGGCCCCCCUCACACCGCCUACGGCUGCUUGGCACCACGCGGAGAGGGGGGAGCGGGAGGAGGCCUGUCGCAGAGCCGUCUUUAUCCCCGUGCAUCGCUGACUCGCUCUCCGUGCGUGUGCGUGUGCGCAUGUGUAUCACGCACCAGCAACAACAUCAGGCUGUCGUGCGCGGCCCGUACCCUCGACAGGCGGCACAGUACUUCCUCGCCGCAUCUCUCUUUCUCUGUCUGUCUCCCUGCCAAAACUACGCAG
rnacentral:misc_RNA from 1 species